GGGAUCUGUUUCCGUAAAACACAGCUGUUCUGUUAUUUAUAUUUUGCUAUUAUUUAAAAUGAGAAAUGUGGCCAUUAUGUCAAGCAACUUUUUCAAAGGAGUGAAUCUGUUGUCUUCUGCAUCAUUACAUUUUUAAAAGGCCCCUACAACCAAUUAGCUUGGAAAUCUUAUAUUCAAGCCUCCUCUGAAUAUUGCCCCACUUGUAACAAGGAAAGCGUUACAUCCAGGUAUUUAACGUAACAGAAACAAGGCACAGGCAGCAACUUCUCUCUCGCUCACUCUACCCCCCGCUUCAUCAACCCCCUUCCCCCCAAGAAACGAGGCACCCUUUGGGCCUCGGAAGGUGCCCGGCGGGGAGUGGAGCCGCCGGAAGAGCGAGGGCAGAGCGCGCGGUGCCCACACCCUUGACCGCGGGGUGAGCGCGGGUGGCCGCCGUUGGCGCGGGAGAGGGGCGCGGGGUAGGAGUGCGGGGUCUAGGCGGAGCCCCCCACCCCACCCCCCUCCGCCCGGGUCUGGGCAUCUGCGACACAAGGCCCGGGGCCCGCAGCCCCCGGCUGGGCCCGGGCGGGGAUGGGCGGGCGGGGGGCGGAGCGCGGCGCUGCGCGGCGGGAAAGGGGCGGGGAGGACAGCUCGGGCUCUGGCGGGCAGAGAGGGACGGUGGCAGAACCUGCGGGCUAGGUGGGAGGCUCACCCUCUGGGAGGAAAGGAAGCGAGGAUCGCGCGGCCGGAGAGCGAGGAGACGCUUGGAGUCCAGGGCUCGGGCCGCCCACACCUCCUCCUGCGGCGGACACGGCACAGCGAGCGGCGCACCGGCCGCAUCCGCGACCCUGCGCGCAGGGAGCAGGAGGAGAGUGGCUCAAGGAGACUUGAUUUUCUUGGAUUUGCUGCAAUUCCUUAAACCGAACCAGGCUUUCGGGGCGUUAAAAAGGAAAUUACCGGUAAGUGGGGACGGAUCUCUGGUGGGGCUAAAAAAAAAAAAAAAAAAGGCUCGCGGGGUUGCGGGCUCGGCGGGCACGGCGGCUGGGUGGCUUGUGGCGCUAUCUCGCCCGGCGGGUGGGGGUGGGGCCGGGGGUGAGGGUGGGGGUGGGGGUGGGGGUGGUGCUUGUGUCUUUGGCUUAAGGUGCCGGAGCUGGGGUACUUGUUCUCGGUGGACUGUGGGACUCGCAGGAGGUAAAAAGCUGUGCGGCGCGGUGUGUUAUUCGCAAUUAACUCUAGAAUCUGUGUCUCCGUCUCUGUUCGGUCUCUCUCACACGCGCGCACACACACGCGCACACACACACCCUGUUUCCGUCUGUUAUUCUCACUCAACUCUAGAAUCUUUGUCUCUCUGCUCUCUCACUCACACAGAACACACCCUGGUUUGA
rnacentral:lncRNA from 1 species